UACAGAGGGUGCAAGCGUUGUUCGGAAUUAUUGGGCGUAAAGGGCGCGUAGGCGGUGCGGUAAGUCUGUAGUGAAAUCUCUGGGCUCAACUCAGAGUCUGCUGCAGAAACUGCCGUGCUCGAGUGUGGGAGAGGUGAGUGGAAUUCCCGGUGUAGCGGUGAAAUGCGUAGAUAUCAGGAGGAACACCCAUGGCGAAGGCAGCUCGCUGGCCUACAACUGACGCUGAGGCGCGAAAGCGUGGGGAGCAAACAGG
rnacentral:rRNA from 1 species